rnacentral:lncRNA from 1 species
UCACUCUCUGUCGCCCUGGCUGGAGUGCAGUGGUGCUAUCACGGCUCACUGCAGCCUCAACCUCCCCGGCUCAAGUGAUCCUCCAGCCUCAGUCUCCUGAGAAGCUAGGACCACAGGCAUGCACCACCAUGUCCAGCUAAUUGGUUAACUUUUUCUUUGCAGAAAUGGGGUCUUACUGUGUUGCCUAAGCUGAUCUCAAACUCCUAACCUCAAGUGAUCCUCCCACCUUGGCCCUGCAAAAUUCUGGGAUUACAAACAUGAGCCAUUGUGCCCAGCUGAGGGCUGGUUUCUAGAAAUGGUGGUAUGCCAGGCUUCAUACUGGGGUCAUGCAUGUGGACUGGGCUCAUUGGCCUGAUUGCUCUAGCAAUAUGUGGGGUAGGAAGAAUCAUGCCCCCUCUCUCCUCCUCUUCGAAAAAUGUCCACAUCCCAAUCCCUGGAAGCUGUGAAUAUGUUCAGUUAUAUGGCAGUUGGGAAUUAAGGUUGCGAGUCAGCUGUCCUUGAGAUGGGGAGAUUAUCCUGGACUAUCCAGGUGGGACUUUUGUAAUCGCAAAGGUCCUCGGAAGUGAAGAAGGAAGUCAGGAGAGUCAGUGUCAGAGUGAUGCCGUGGGACACAGUCUUCAGGGCUGUUGCUGCCUUGAAGAUGCAGGAAGGGGCCGUGAGCCAAGGAAUGCAGGUGGCCUCUAGAAGCUGGAAAAGGCAAGAAAAUGGAUUCUCCUUGAGAGCCUCCAGCAGAAAUGAGGCCCUGCCAACACCUUGACUUGUAGCCCAGUGAGACCCAAACAUCUAACAUCUAAAACUAUAAAUAAGAAUUUGUGUUGUUUUAAGUCACCACGUACAUAGUCAUUUGUUACAGCAAGCUAUAGCAAACAAUCCAAAUGGAGACCUGUCUCUGGUUUGGAAAUGCGAGACAUUCUUAUUUAUUUGUGGAAUAUAAUAUAAUGGAAAAUUUAUGGAAUAUAAGUAACUCCAAGAAGAUUCUUGUCAACAUUAAUUCUGAGAUUUUUCUAAGCUAAUUUAUUUUACUACAGUAAGGCCAGGAACUUUAUUGCUUUGCUGUUGUCUCCUCACUGCCUCGAUCAGUGCCUAAUUCAUUCCUUUUUGAAUGAAUGAAUCUUUUCUAACCAAACUCAUGAAAAACCCUAAGAAACACCCCCCACUUUUUUUGAGACAGAAUCUCAUUUUGUCACCCAGGCUGGAGUGCAGUGGAUCACAGCUCACUGCAGCCUCAACCUCCCAAGUUCAAGUGAUCCUCCCCACUUGGCUUCCCAAGUAGCUGGGACCACAGGUGCACACCACCACGUCUGGCUAAUUUUUUAAUUUUUUUUUUGUAGAAAUCAGGUCUUGCUAUGUUGCCUAGACUGGUCUCAAACUCCUGGGCUCAAGUGAACCUCCCGCCUUGGCCUUCCAAAAUGCUCUCAUUACAGGUGUGAUCCACUGUGCUUGGCCCCACCUUUUCAAAAAAAAAUUUAUGCUAAAUUGUAAAUGUUAAAUUGAGGCUCUUGUUAUAGACAAGGCAUAUCAUACUUCGCAUUAUCAUUCAAAGAUGAGAGGCUUAAUUAGAGAAUUUUCUACAGUUGGGUUUUAACAAGAGCCAUUCUUAACUUCCUUGGGGUCUAAGAACUUCUUGGUACCUACACAUGGUUGAAAUGUUAACCCUGUACUUUGCUGCUUAGCAAGACUGCUGUAAUGCUGAUAUGGUUUGGCUCUGUGCCCCCACCCAAAUCUCAUCUCGAAAUUGUAAUCCCCACACAUCGAGGGAGGGACCUGAUGGGAGAUGAUUGGAUCAUGGAGGCGGUUUCCCCCAUGCUGUUCUCGUGAUAGUGAGUUCUCGCGAUAGUGAGUUCUCGCAAGAUCUGAUGGUUUAAAAGUGUUUGGCAGUUCCCCCCUAGCUCUCUCUCUCUCUCUCUCUCUCUCCCCCCUAAUGCCAUGUAAGACGUGCCUUGCUUCCCCUUUGCCUUCCGCCAUGAUUUUAAGUUUCCUGGGGCCUCCCACACUAUGCAGAACUGUGAGUCAAUUAACCCUCUUUUCUGUAUAAAGAACUACCUGAGACUGGGUAAUUCAUAAAGAAAAUAGGCUUAAUUGGCUGAUGGAUCUUCAGGUCAUAUAGGAAGCAUGGUUGCAGAGGCCUCAGGAAACUUACAAUCAUGGCAGAAGGUGAAUGGGAAGCAGACACAGCCUGCAUGGCUGAAGCAGGAGGAAGAGAGAGAAGGGGGAGGUGCUACACACUUUUAAACAACCAGAUCUCAUGAGAACUCACCAUCACAAGAACAGCAAGGGGGAAGUUUGCCCCCACGAUCCAAUCACUUCCCACCAGGCCUGUCCUCCAACAUUGGGGGUUAUAAUUCAACAUGAGAUUGGGGCAAGAACACAAAUCCAAACCAUAUCAGGCUGGGCACAGGGACUCAUGCCUGUAAUCCUGGCACUUUGGGAGGCCAAAGCAGAGGAUUGUUUGAGUCCAGGAGUUUGAGACCAGCUUGGUCAACAUAGCGAGAACGACUCAG